UAGUGAGUUUGAUCCUGGCUCAGAACGAACGCUGGCGGCAUGCCUAACACAUGCAAGUCGAACGAGACCUUCGGGUCUAGUGGCGCACGGGUGCGUAACGCGUGGGAAUCUGCCCUUGGGUUCGGAAUAACAGUUAGAAAUGACUGCUAAUACCGGAUGAUGUCUUCGGACCAAAGAUUUAUCGCCUUUAGAUGGGCCCGCGUAGGAUUAGCUAGUUGGUGGGGUAAAGGCCUACCAAGGCGACGAUCCUUAGCUGGUCUGAGAGGAUGAUCAGCCACACUGGGACUGAGACACGGCCCAGACUCCUACGGGGAGGCAGCAGUAGGGAAUAUUGGGGCAAUGGGCGAGAGCCUGACCCAGCCAUGCCGCGUGCCGGAUGAAGGCCC
rnacentral:rRNA from 1 species